UUUGAUCGAGCCCAGCCACAGUGGGCGGUCGACGGUCCGGUCCUGGCCAUAGGUGGCCAACAAGGCUUGCGCCUC
rnacentral:antisense_RNA from 1 species